rnacentral:rRNA from 1 species
GAUGAACGCUAGCUACAGGCUUAACACAUGCCAGUCGCAGGGUAACAUGAGGAAAGCUUGCUUUCCUUGAUGACGACUGGCGCACGGGUGAGUAACGCGUAUCCAACCUUCCCAUAACUACGGGAUAACCCGUUGAAAGACGGCCUAAUACCGUAUGAUAUCGUUUGCUGACAUCAAAUAACGAUUAAAGGUUUAGCGGUUAUGGAUGGGGAUGCGUCUGAUUAGCUUGUUGGCGGGGUAACGGCCCACCAAGGCGACGAUCAGUAGGGGUUCUGAGAGGAAGGUCCCCCACAUUGGAACUGAGACACGGUCCAAACUCCUACGGGAGGCAGCAGUGAGGAAUAUUGGUCAAUGGGCGAGAGCCUGAACCAGCCAAGUAGCGUGCAGGACGACGGCCCUAUGGGUUGUAAACUGCUUUUAUGUGGGGAUAAAGUGCGUGACGUGUCAUGCAUUGCAGGUACCACAUGAAUAAGGACCGGCUAAUUCCGUG